rnacentral:rRNA from 1 species
ACAGCAGUCGCCGCGGGAAUACGAAGGGUGCAAGCGUUAAUCGGAAUUACUGGGCGUAAAGCGUGCGUAGGCGGUGAGUUAAGUCUGCUGUGAAAUCCCCGGGCUCAACCUGGGAAUGGCAGUGGAUACUGGCUCGCUAGAGUGUGUCAGAGGAUGGUGGAAUUCCCGGUGUAGCGGUGAAAUGCGUAGAGAUCGGGAGGAACAUCAGUGGCGAAGGCGGCCAUCUGGGACAACACUGACGCUGAGGCACGAAAGCGUGGGGAGCAAACAGGAUUAGAUACCCGCGUAGUCCCUGUCUCUUAUAC